rnacentral:rRNA from 2 species
UGGGGAAUAUUGGACAAUGGGCGCAAGCCUGAUCCAGCCAUGCCGCGUGAGUGAUGAAGGCCCUAGGGUUGUAAAGCUCUUUCACCGGUGAAGAUAAUGACGGUAACCGGAGAAGAAGCCCCGGCUAACUUCGUGCCAGCAGCCGCGGUAAUACGAAGGGGGCUAGCGUUGUUCGGAUUUACUGGGCGUAAAGCGCACGUAGGCGGACUUUUAAGUCAGGGGUGAAAUCCCGGGGCUCAACCCCGGAACUGCCUUUGAUACUGGAAGUCUUGAGUAUGGUAGAGGUGAGUGGAAUUCCGAGUGUAGAGGUGAAAAUCGUAGAUAUUCGGAGGAACACCAGUGGCGAAGGCGGCUCACUGGACCAUUACUGACGCUGAGGUGCGAAAGCGUGGGGAGCAAACAGG